CAGGCCUAACACAUGCAAGUCGAGCGGUAGCACAGGAGAGCUUGCUCUCCGGGUGACGAGCGGCGGACGGGUGAGUAAUGUCUGGGAAACUGCCUGAUGGAGGGGGAUAACUACUGGAAACGGUAGCUAAUACCGCAUAACGUCGCAAGACCAAAGUGGGGGACCUUCGGGCCUCAUGCCAUCAGAUGUGCCCAGAUGGGAUUAGCUAGUAGGUGGGGUAAUGGCUCACCUAGGCGACGAUCCCUAGCUGGUCUGAGAGGAUGACCAGCCACACUGGAACUGAGACACGGUCCAGACUCCUACGGGAGGCAGCAGUGGGGAAUAUUGCACAAUGGGCGCAAGCCUGAUGCAGCCAUGCCGCGUGUAUGAAGAAGGCCUUCGGGUUGUAAAGUACUUUCAGCGAGGAGGAAGGCAUUAAGGUUAAUAACCUUAGUGAUUGACGUUACUCGCAGAAGAAGCACCGGCUAACUCCGUGCCAGCAGCCGCGGUAAUACGGAGGGUGCAAGCGUUAAUCGGAAUUACUGGGCGUAAAGCGCACGCAGGCGGUUUGUUAAGUCAGAUGUGAAAUCCCCGGGCUCAACCUGGGAACUGCAUUUGAAACUGGCAAGCUUGAGUCUUGUAGAGGGGGGUAGAAUUCCAGGUGUAGCGGUGAAAUGCGUAGAGAUCUGGAGGAAUACCGGUGGCGAAGGCGGCCCCCUGGACAAAGACUGA
rnacentral:rRNA from 1 species